ACGGAUCUCUUGGUUCUGGCAUCGAUGAAGAACGCAGCAAAAUGCGAUAAGUAAUGUGAAUUGCAGAAUUCAGUGAAUCAUCGAAUCUUUGAACGCACAUUGCGCCCGCCAGUAUUCUGGCGGGCAUGCCUGUUCGAGCGUCAUUUCAACC
rnacentral:rRNA from 2 species